UUGAAUUUAAGCCCUGGUGAAUGGCGGCCGUAACUAUAACGGUCCUAAGGUAGCGAAAUUCCUUGUCGGGUAAGUUCCGACCUGCACGAAUGGCCUAACGAUCUGGGCACUGUCUCAACGAGAGACUCGGUGAAAUUGUAGUAGCGGUGAAGAUGCCGUUUACCCGCAACAAGACGGAAAGACCCCGUGAACCUUUACUGUACUCUGAUAUUGGCUUUUGACGUUCCAUGUGUAGGAUAGCCGGGAGACUAUGAAUACGACUCGUCAGGGUUGUAGGAGUCAACGUUGAAAUACCGGUCUUGGAAGGUCGAAAAUCUAACGAAGCCCAGUGAAUCCUGGGUUCGGACAUUGUCAGACGGGCAGUUUGACUGGGGCGGUAUCCUCCAAAAGAGUAACGGAGGAGUCCAAAGCUUACCUCAUCGUGGUUGGCAAUCACGAGCAGAGCGUAAAGGUAUAAGGUAGGUUAACUGCGAGACCAACAAGUCGAGCAGAUACGAAAGUAGGGCUUAGUGAUCCGGCGGUUGAAAGUGGAAUCGCCGUCGCUUAACGGAUAAAAGGUACUCCGGGGAUAACAGGCUUAUCGCCACCAAGAGUUCAUAUCGACGUGGCGGUUUGGCACCUCGAUGUCGACUCAUCGCAUCCUGGGGCUGGAGAAGGUCCCAAGGGUUUGGCUGUUCGCCAAUUAAAGCGGUACGCGAGUUGGGUUCAAAACGUCGUGAGACAGUUUGGUCCCUAUCUGUUGUGGGCGUAGGAUACUUGAGAAGAGCUGCUUCUAGUACGAGAGGACCGAAGUGGACGAACCAAUGGUGUGCCGGUUGUACUGCCAAGUGCAUAGCCGGGUAGCUAUGUUCGGAAAGGAUAAGCGUUGAAAGCAUCUAAACGCCAAGCCUCCUUCAAGAUAAGGUAUCCCAUGAGACUCCCUGAAGACUACAGGGUCGAUAGGUUGGGUGUGUAAGCAUAGUAAUAUGUUGAGCUGACCAAUACUAAUCAGUCGAUUGGCUUGAUCAC
rnacentral:rRNA from 1 species